CUGACCUUAGCUCAGUUGGUAGAGUGGUGGACUGUAGUUGGACUAAUCUAAAUUGGAAAUCCUUAGGUCGCUGGUUUGAUUCCGGCAGGUUGGA
rfam:Ipomoea nil DNA, scaffold: scaffold2940, cultivar: Tokyo-kokei standard.